rnacentral:rRNA from 1 species
UACGUAGGGGGCUAGCGUUGUCCGGAAUCAUUGGGCGUAAAGCGCGUGUAGGCGGUUCGGUAAGUCCGCUGGGAAAGUCGGGGGCUCAACCCUCGGAUGCCGGUGGAUACUGUCGGACUAGAGUACGGAAGAGGCGAGUGGAAUUCCUGGUGUAGCGGUGGAAUGCGCAGAUAUCAGGAGGAACACCAAUAGCGAAGGCAGCUCGCUGGGACGUGACUGACACUAAGGCGCGAAAGCGUGGGGAGCGAACAGG